UACAGCAGCACUGUUCACAGCAGAGGAAAACUGGCCUCUCCCCAAAGGCUUAGCAGCAGGGAAAUAAUUAAGCGAAUGAUGGCUGUGCAGAUGAGGAAUCACCAGGAGGAGGUGUCCGCAGCCAUGACUGGUGAGCAGCUGAGGGAGGCAGAGAGAGGCUCUGAACGUCACUAGAGUGACCUGGACACUGCCCUGGUCCCGGAGGUUGAGGACGCGUGGACAUCACGAAGCUGGACUCAGCCCCUGAAACCUGACUCUGGCUCAUUAGAAUGGCUUCUCCUCAAUAAAAGGGUUCAGCACGU
rnacentral:lncRNA from 1 species